AUUCAACAAUACAAAGAUGAUAACUUGUGGAGGACUACAUCCGAGGAAAAGAGGGAACUGGAGCGCCUGGAAAAGCCAACUUAUAAUUCUGUUCGUCAAGCAGCAGAAGUUCAUCGUCAGGUUCGGAAAUACAUCAGGCAAAUUGCUAAGCCUGGCAUGUUAAUGAUUGACCUGUGUGAAACUUUGGAGAAUAUGGUUCGCAAAUUGAUAUCAGAGAAUGGUCUUCAAGCUGGUAUUGCGUUCCCUACAGGGUGCUCAUUGAACUGGGUAGCUGCACAUUGGACCCCCAAUUCAGGAGAUAAAACUGUGCUUCAGUAUGAUGAUGUG
rnacentral:misc_RNA from 1 species